rnacentral:rRNA from 1 species
GCAAUCUGCCCUGCACUCUGGGACAAGCCCUGGAAACGGGGUCUAAUACCGGAUAUGACCAUCUUGGGCAUCCUUGAUGGUGUAAAGCUCCGGCGGUGCAGGAUGAGCCCGCGGCCUAUCAGCUUGUUGGUGAGGUAAUGGCUCACCAAGGCGACGACGGGUAGCCGGCCUGAGAGGGCGACCGGCCACACUGGGACUGAGACACGGCCCAGACUCCUACGGGAGGCAGCAGUGGGGAAUAUUGCACAAUGGGCGAAAGCCUGAUGCAGCGACGCCGCGUGAGGGAUGACGGCCUUCGGGUUGUAAACCUCUUUCAGCAGGGAAGAAGCGAAAGUGACGGUACCUGCAGAAGAAGCGCCGGCUAACUACGUGCCAGCAGCCGCGGUAAUACGUAGGGCGCAAGCGUUGUCCGGAAUUAUUGGGCGUAAAGAGCUCGUAGGCGGCUUGUCGCGUCGGUUGUGAAAGCCCGGGGCUUAACCCCGGGUCUGCAGUCGAUACGGGCAGGCUAGAGUUCGGUAGGGGAGAUCGGAAUUCCUGGUGUAGCGGUGAAAUGCGCAGAUAUCAGGAGGAACACCGGUGGCGAAGGCGGAUCUCUGGGCCGAUACUGACGCUGAGGAGCGAAAGCGUGGGGAGCGAACAGGAUUAGAUACCCUGGUAGUCCACGCCGUAAACGGUGGGCACUAGGUGUGGGCAACAUUCCACGUUGUCCGUGCCGCAGCUAACGCAUUAAGUGCCCCGCCUGGGGAGUACGGCCGCAAGGCUAAAACUCAAAGGAAUUGACGGGGGGCCCGCACAAGCGGCGGAGCAUGUGGCUUAAUUCGACGCAACGCGAAAAAACCUUACCAAGGCU